AAAAAGUUUUAUUUUAGCUUAAAAAUUAAGUAUUAUUUUUUUUUAUAUGUAAAUUUUGUUAAAGAAUUAAUAUGCAGUAUUUAAUUUUAUAAAUUUAAGAAAUUAAGAAUUAGAAAUAAUAAAAAGUAUAAACUAAAUUUGUGCCAGCAGUUGCGGUUAUACAAAUUAUAUAAAUUAAUUUUAUUAAUUUUAAUUAAUUUUAUUUUUAAGUUUUAAAGAUAAAUUUAUUUGGUGAAAUUAUAAAUUUAUAAUAAAAUUUUUAUUUGUUAAUAAUGUUAAGAAAUUUUUGUAAUAAACUAGGAUUAGAUACCCUAUUAUUAAAAGUGUAAUAUUAGUAUUAAAUUAGUAUUAGUUAUGAUCUUGAAAAUUAAAAAUUUUGGCGGUAUUUUAAUCUAUUCAGAGGAACCUGUUCUAUAAAUGAUAAUCCACGAUUUAAUUUACUUUUAUUAUUAAUUUAUAUAUCAUCGUUAUUUAAAUAUCUUUUUAAAGUUUAAAUAUUUAAAAUUUUUUUAAUAAAAUAUUUCAGAUCAAGGUAUAGUUUAUAUAAAAGAAGAAAUGGGUUACAAUAAAUAUAUUUUAGGAUUAAUAUUUUUAAAUUAUUAUGAAUUUGGAUUUGAUAGUAAUUUUAAUAAAUUUAUUAAAAUGAUUUUAGUACUAAAAUAUGUACAUAUUGCCCGUCACUUUCAUUUAAUAUGAAAUAAGUCGUAACAAAGUAGAUUUACUGGAAAGUGAAUCUAGAAAACA
rnacentral:ncRNA from 1 species